GUACCAGUUUAGACAGACUGGCUGUGAUUCUAAUCUCACUGUGAAGCUUCAGAGCAGCAGCAGCAGAAGAUACACCUGCCAGUUUAUUGAGGGAAACACAGUGAAGAUAGAAGCUCACUACCAGCUGGAAGUCUUCACAGCAGUUCCUGCCAAUAACACCAUCAUCAUCAUCCUCUUCCUCAGAGCAGGGAUCUUUCUGCUUUUGCUUUUUGUUACUGCUGCUGUUUCUAUUAAAUGCAGAAAAACUAGAGUUACCGAGGAACGCCAAACAACAGAAGAUCAAGAUUCAACCCAUGAAAGCCAUCACUAUGUGAG